rnacentral:rRNA from 1 species
GAACCGAGCGAACGUUGUUCGGAAUCACUGGGCUUAAAGGGCGCGUAGGCGGGCUGCCGCGUCCGGGGUGAAAUCCCACGGCUCAACCGUGGAACGGCCCCGGGUACGGGCGGCCUCGAGGGGGGUAGGGGCGUGCGGAACUGUGGGUGGAGCGGUGAAAUGCGUUGAUAUCCACAGGAACUCCGGUGGCGAAGGCGGCACGCUGGACCCUCUCUGACGCUGAGGCGCGAAAGCCAGGGGAGCGAACGGGAUUAGAUACCCCGGUAGUCCUGGCCCUAAACGAUGAGAACUGGGUAGUAGCCCUGGCAUGGGGUUACUGCCGCAGCCAAAGUGCUAAGUUCUCCGCCUGGGGAGUAUGGUCGCAAGGCUG